rnacentral:rRNA from 1 species
GACGAACGCUGGCGGCGUGCUUAACACAUGCAAGUCGAACGGUAAGGCCCUUCGGGGUACACGAGUGGCGAACGGGUGAGUAACACGUGGGUGAUCCGCCCUGCACUUCGGGAUAAGCCUGGGAAACUGGGUCUAAUACCGGAUAGGACUCCUGCCUGCAUGGGUGGGGGUGGAAAGCUUUUGCGGUGUGGGAUGGGCCCGCGGCCUAUCAGCUUGUUGGUGGGGUGAUGGCCUACCAAGGCGACGACGGGUAGCCGGCCUGAGGGGGUGACCGGCCACACUGGGACUGAGAUACGGCCCAGACUCCUACGGGAGGCAGCAGUGGGGAAUAUUGCACAAUGGGCGCAAGCCUGAUGCAGCGACGCCGCGUGAGGGAUGACGGCCUUCGGGUUGUAAACCUCUUUCAGCACAGACGAAGCGCAAGUGACGGUAUGUGUAGAAGAAGGACCGGCCAACUACGUGCCAGCCGCCGCGGUAA